GACGAACCGUGCGAACGUUGUUCGGAAUCACUGGGCUUAAAGGGCGCGUAGGCGGCUUGUCAAGUCGGGGGUGAAAUCCGGCAGCUUAACUGUCGAAGUGCCUUCGAUACUGACAAGCUCGAGGGAGGUAGGGGUCUGUGGAACUUCUGGUGGAGCGGUGAAAUGCGUUGAUAUCAGAAGGAACGCCGGUGGCGAAAGCGACGGACUGGAUCUCUUCUGACGCUGAGGCGCGAAAGCUAGGGUAGCGAACGGG
rnacentral:rRNA from 2 species